GAUGAACGCUAGCGGCAGGCCUAACACAUACAAGUCGAGGGGUAGAAGUUUUCGGACUUUGAGACCGGCGCACGGGUGCGUAACGCGUAUGCAAUCUGCCUUGUACUGGGGGAUAGCCCAGAGAAAUUUGGAUUAAUACCCCAUAGUAUUUUCGGUUGGCAUCAACUGAUUAUUAAAGUUUUUCGGUACAAGAUGAGCAUGCGUCCCAUUAGCUAGUUGGUAUGGUAACGGCAUACCAAGGCUACGAUGGGUAGGGGUCCUGAAAGGGAGAUCCCCCACACUGGUACUGAGACACGGACCAGACUCCUGCGGGAGGCAGCAGUGAGGAAUAUUGGUCAAUGGUCGCAAGACUGAACCAGCCAUGCCGCGUGCAGGAUGAAGCAUCUAUGGUGUGUAAACUGCUUUUGUACGGGAAGAGACACUGCUACGUGUAGCAGCUUGACGGUACCGUAAGAAUAAGGAUCGGCUAACUCCGUGCCAGCAGCCGCCGUAAAAC
rnacentral:rRNA from 1 species